GGGUGGGAAAGGGCAGGGAGGCCAGAGCCGGAGAGCGGCUGCGAGGAGGAAUCAAAGGGGAGCCAGCCGCCAGCCUCUGCUCGCAGCUAGCAGGAUGAUCGCAGAGGAAAUUAAAAGUGAGUUUCCUUGAAGGAGGAGAAGGUAAUUGGUUCCCUCUGCUCUGGUGUCCCAGCACCUGCCCUCCAUCUGCACCCGGAGGAGGAGUCAUCAUGGGAGGCCGCGGCACCGAACUACAGAGCUCUUCCAGGCCGUCCGAAAUGCGCGCACAUGCACAUGCGCAUACAGCACAUCCACACGCGCAUGCGCGGGCACGCACAUGCGCAGUCCAUCUGCCCCGUCUUCCCGCCCUCCAGCCGCAUCAAACCCUGUCAGAAGAGAAGAGGAAGAACCCGAGACGUGGAGAAGCCGAGAAAGCAAUGAACAGCUGAGGCGGGAGAGGACCUGCCCUGGUUUGGACAAGAGCUCAUGUGGAUUGAAGCCACGAAGCCCUGGGUGAGUGGUGCUAACAGGGUGGACGCUUGAUGCAGGUGCAGUGGGAAGACCUGGGGUGGCUACGGCCAUGACCUUGGGAGGCAGACUCUGUGGGAGGGUUGGUUAUAGAAAAGCCGAGCUGGACCCCACCACCCUCUCGGCUGCACAAGCAUGCCCUCACCAGGGGUCAGGGAACCAACCUUGGACAGAGACGCUCCACAACUCUGAGCUGCGAGAAGCCGCCUCCCUUCCGAAGUCGCCCGUCUCCAGGGUUUCGCUGCAGCCAUGAGAAGACAACUCUCACUGCCUCACCUCGCAUCCUGUGUCUUCUCCAGGGCACCCUCCAAGACCACUCCAAGAAAAUCCCAUUCCCUGCCUUCCCCUCCCCGCUCCCAGGCUGCGCAGGUGGCGGGCGGCUCCUCCCGCUCAGGAGAACCCAGUAACCAUGAUUUGGGAGUCCCCAUCCGGAGUCAGCAGCUGGGGCACUCCGACGACAGCCUGUGUGCACGUGUGGUUGCCUCUCUCUGCUUCUGCCAUUUGAGCGGAGGAGCCCCUGAGCUGGUGUCACCGUGAGGUCCAGUUGACUCGAGUGAAGUGCCCAUUCAUUACAAAGCUAUGCAGAAUGCAAGAGGAAAUUCAGGGAGCCUCAGAGAUGGCCACAGAGGGACCGGAGACAGGCAGACGAGAACCAAAAGGAGCCAACUCAACAGGGGACCCCCAGGGCUGCCGGGUCAGGUGCAGUGGGUUCUACUGCCUAGACCACGCUCUGUUCGGGUCACAGAGCCACUGUUGCCAACACCUUCAACUCAAUGGAGCUGCACCAAGGCACUGCCUCAUGCCAGAUGUGCCCUCCGACCAGGUCAGACCCCAGCUCCACCCUCGCAGACAGAGACCAGAGACCAAGGCAGGCACAAAGCGCCUCACGGUCCUGGGUUCAUGGGAUGAGCUUUCUUGUUCUUAGGAGGGGUUAGAGUCAGAUUCCCGUGGAAAUCUUGCCACGCGACUUGGCCCUGAACGAGUUACCCAGCCGCCGUGCGUCUGAGUCCGCUCACCUGUACAGAGGGAACGAACACGACCCUGUUACGUCUCCAGGAUGCAGUGCCCUAGGCCAUCCGACGGUGCCAUGUUGAGUGUGAUGCCCUCCUUGUGUACAGCCAAACAGGAAACUCUACUCAGAGCGAAAUACCGUUCUUUCCUGCUUCCACAAAAACCAGCUCUUUAAACAAACCUCCAAACUUCUCCUUGGAAACGUGCCAGCCCCAAGCGCUAUUUGGGCAACAACAGACAAAUUUGAAAAUUAGAAGCGAACUUCCAAUGCGAGUUGGCAUUAGCGAAGCCAUCGAUAAGUUUCUCAACUUCUGCCGCCUUGCUUCUGCAGCGCGUGGUGUUAAUUCUGUUAAACAUUGUUGUUGCCGAGUGUUCCUUAAAUAGCUUUUAAUUGGUCGUAAUUGGGAGGAAGCGUGUUCUGCCUGAGAUGCAGGGGCAGGAAUCGUCAAAAAAUAAAAUGAACGGAUAACAUGCCGCGGAGGAACGCGCAGGCCUGCGGUAUCGUUCCGCAUUCCCUUCGCAAGUGCAGGGGGACUUUUCAUUGUGUCGAUUUCACUUGCAAUCGCUCUUCACACAGCACCAAGCUUUUGGCAAUGUGUCUUGUGGCUCCGCGGAAUAGUUCUUCUUCACCUUCUGUGUGUUCUUCACGGAGAACUUUUCAACCACAUGAAUCACUUGGGCUGCUGGGGAAAAAAUGCAAACGAGUCAGCAGUGGCCCUUCACCCAGGAAUGUGAAGUCUGUGGGGGGGUGGGGGACGCCCGGCCAGCACACCCUCGAAGGCCUGCAGGAUCAAUGGAUUUGGCUCUGCCUUCUGUGACCACCAGUGCGACUCACAGGCCAAUUUCUAAGCUGCUAAUUUCCUAUGGUCGGUGAUUGAUGCUAGAGAUAUGCAAAUUACCCUUGGCAGAAAAAAAAAAAAAGGUUCCCCAUCCACAGGUAAUUAACGCUGUCAGAAAGGCUAAGCCCUGUUAAGGCCCCCCUUGAAUGUUGUGCAGGAAACCAACCUCCUGUGCUGACAUGUGGCAGAUCAACAGGUGAGAAGUAGAUGAUGCAAACAUCUUUUUGUUGUCAUGGGAUUUUGGCAAAAUCCCAACAAAGCAAUCUCUCUCUUUUUUUUUUUAAACUGGAGAACUCCAGUUUUUGGACCUUUUUAAGAUACGGUUCUAGACAUGUGAGCGCAUGACUCUGUCAUGGCAUCUUGUAUCCCUUUAGCUAAGGGAGCCACAGACGCUCUGACAGCUUUGCCUUGGCAAAUGCAAGCCAAGGCGCCUGCACUCUUUCGGCUGUAGAGGUGGGUGGAGGUCUCAUAUGCCACUCUGAGGGUUGCCAAGCACCACCAAAGGAUAGCCCUGGUCUCACUGCCUGGAGUGUUUCAGGCACGCGGACUCUGUUUAAAUGGCAUCUGGUGUAAAAUAUGUGCAAGUAUUAGCAACACUUUUUUUUUUUUCCAAAAUAGCAAAGCUCUGAAUUAUGCAGAGGGAAAAUUGACAAGUGCAGUGCUAGCGGGGUACAACGGUGCGUCUGUAGGAUGUAAUAUAUCCUUGCAAUUGCUUAGCCAUUAAGGAACUAAGAGGUGGGAUCUGAAAGGUCUUGUCUAACAGACAGAGGGAUUUAGUACUCCCCAGGUCAUUGGGUCCAGAAUAGAUGUCCUUGAAUCUCCGUAGAAUUUUGCUCACUUGCGCUUCCCAUGGAGGCCAGAGUGGAAUGCUAUUCAAGUGCAGCUUUAUUUAUCCUGUCAUGGUGUCAGGUGUAUUUAAAAGCCAGUUGCUUACAUGAAAGCCACAGUGAGCACUAGAGAAGCUUUCAGUUGGUGGGGCCCCUUGUAAUCACGGGGGAACCACCCAAGGAUGACAGGGCUCCCUUGCUUGCGGGGUGAUCCAAACCUCCGUGACCUAGCCCAGCGCAAGCCCCAUUUCCUGCUUUGGGUGUCCUGGGCAGCACUGCCCUCCUGGGCUCCUCCCACUUUGCUGUUUUUCUCUGCUCCUCUGACUGCAUGAAUCACAGGCAGCCUUUAAGACCCAGCCUAGACCUCUGCUGCUGAGGUCCUGGAUGGAGACAGCCCAUGCAUUACAAAGGGCGAUUGGAGGGGGGUGGGUAGGAACUGGGUAGAGGAAGUGGCUUGGGCCAGGGCUCUUGGGAGAGCAACCAGGGAGUCGGCAGCACGCUGGGACUAACCCUGGGAGCUGCUUCUGUUCCUGGGUCCGGGAGAGCUGAAAGGAGGCAGCUCUCCCGGAAGCCAGAGCAGAGCCCAGGGUGUAGGUGUGACUGCCUGUAGGAACCCCGGCCGGCCCUAGAGGGACCUGGUCAGUGUUAACCUUCAGCCUGGCGGAGAGGAAGCCAGAGGCAAGCAAACCCCUGCGCUUCCUUCCCACUGUUCAUCCCCUGCCUCUGCCUGACCUUGGCCAAACCCAACCUGAAGGUGCAGGACAGGGAGCCCCUCCUGGAGCCUUCCUGGGUCAGCCUCCCGGCCAGAGCCCAAGAAAGGCGAGAGCCUGGGUUGGGAGGGGCAGCCUCUGCUUCUCCUUGGAACACCCCGGGGAGUGCAGCCCAGCCAAGCCAGCUCUCCUCUGCACUCUUUGAAAGCACAUUUGGCCUUGAGCAGCUCAAGUUGCGCUGCAAGGCUACUGCUGUCUGCAUCCCGUGCUCCCUGCACUGUGUGAGCUCCUGCGAGAAGGGGCCUUGACUCGGCCUCUCUGGUUCUUAGAUGGAGACGACUGUCCUGGAGAGUCCUGGCUGUGUCAGCUUUGAUCGGCCUUUUCUUGCCCCCUCCCACACAUCCCAACCUGGACGUGGGGCUCUGGUAGAUUUUCCUGGAGGGUGUGGAUCCUGGGUUUGGGUUGGGAGGUUUUCAGCAGGUGCAGCAGGCAGCAAGGGUGCAGGAGUCGGCAGAGCAGAGCAGAGCUGAGGGCCGUGUUCAGGAGGAUUUCUCUGAAUGGGUCGGGGUGGAGGCAGGCGCCGAGAGGGGAUGUGAGCUGGGAGUGCAGGGCCAAGGGGACCUGAACAGCAGGAGUGCAGGGUGAGGAGGACCACCCUGGAGAUGUGGGAAUGGGCUGGGGUGGGGCCUGCCAUUGUCUAGAUCUGUACUGUCCAAUAUGGCAGCCACCAGUCUGGUUCAGUCAUGUACAUUUUUUUAAGAUUUAUUUAUUUGUUUGAAUAAAUAAAUUCAGUUACAGAGAGGCAGAGGCAGAGAGAGAGAGAGAGAGAGAGAGAGAGAGAGAGAGUCUUCCAUCUGCUGGUUCACUCCCCAAAUAGCUGCAAUGGCCAAAGCUGGUCCUAUCGGAAGCCAGGAGCCAGGAGCUUCUUCCGGGUCUCCUUCUUGGGUGCAGGGGCCCAAGGACCUGGGCCAUCUUCUACUGCUUUCCCAGGUCACAGCAGAGAGCUGGAUCGGAAGUGGAGCAGCUGAGACUCAAACUGGUGCCCAUAUAGGAUGCCAGCACUGCAGGCAAUGGCUUUACCCGCUACACCACAGCGCCGGACCCCAGUCAUGUAAAUUUAACUGAACUAAAACAAAAUCAAACCCAGAGUCAUUUCCCAGCCACCCAGCACACUUCAGGUGCUGUGGGGGUUGGCCAGGGCACCCUAAGGACAUUCUCAUCACUGCAGAACCUUCUACCACAUAGAACAUCCUUGAGAUUUUAGGGUCCCAGUGAGGCUAGAGGCCAUCUUGGUUGGCGUUGGUCUGGGCACACCUGCCGUGACGUCCGGCACGCCCAGCUCCCCAUCUCGAGUGUGCUAGUGGACAGCGGUGUGACGACGAUUCCCUGUCUAGACAAUGGAGGACUCAACAGACUGAGCCCCUGCAGGCGUCCUGGAUGGCCUUGGACACACAGAGGGAGCUGGCUGCCAGCCCCGCUCACAGCAGCCAGAGCACCAGGCGGCACUGUGGGGAGCUUGCUGUGCCGUCGCUGGGCUGAGGUUCGCCGUGACUGCCUGCAGCCACUCUCACCAGAACUCUGCGCCACAGCCUCGCUGUCCCCACUCUUGCAGUCCGAGCUGUGCAGCCGACGGAGCCAACUCUUUCCGUUUGAUGAAAACCUGUCGCACAGUGUCCUCUGCCACUGUUCAGAACAGGAUCUCAAGCUUCAUGGGCGGGGGCUGAUGCUUGGUUGCUAAUUGGCACAUGGAUGCUGACAAACUUUAACGAAAGCAUUUACGAUUUCUUUAGCAGCUACGAUUGCUUGAACGUUUGCUCCUCAAGGAGGGAUCUUGAAAACAAACCUCUGGUGCCCAAUUCAGCAUGCAGCCUGCAGACUUCUUUAGAUCCAGGAGCUUUUAGAAACACCCAAGGGCUGGCACUUUGGUGUAGUGGGCUAAGCCUCCGCGUGCAGUGCCGGCAUUCAGGAUGGGUGCUGGUUCGAGUCCUGACUGCUCCACUUCUGAUCCAACUCUCUGCUGUGGCCUGGGAAAGCAGUAGAAGGUGGCCCAAGUGCUUGGGCCCCUGCACUCACGUGGGAGACCCAGAAGAAGCUCCUGGCUCCUGGGGUACUUCACUUACAUUCUUGGAAUUUCUGUUUCUUUUGAUAUUUUUUUGGGGGGGUCAAUAUUUAGAAAAGCAUAUUUUAAUUUUAUUUGAAAUGGAGACAUCAGACAGACACACACACUCACACUCACACACACAUAUCUUCCAUCUGCUGGUUCACUCCCCAAAUGCCUGCAACAGAUGGAGCUGAACCAGGACUACAAUCAGGAGCCCAGAACUCAAUCCAGAUCUCCCAAGUGGACGGCAGGGACCCACGUCCUUGAGCCGUCAUCUGCCACCGCCCGGAGCAUCAGCAGGAAGCUGGAACUGGAAGCAGAGCCAGGAUGCCCACUUCAAGAUGCGAUGCGGGCGUCCCAGGCUCUGUCUUCGCGGCUAUGCCAGCGGCCAGCCUGGAAUUGCAGUCUUUCCUUUAAGAAGCCCAAGUCCUAGCCCUCUGGGGGGCAGCAUGUAGGGGCGGAGGGAGUCUGUGAUAAGACUUGACCUUGAACACCAGUGCCCUCAGUGAAGUACUCUGCCCCCACCCCGGGAAGCUGCCUCGCUUUCGCUGUCGGGAUAAACCUGGCGUGCAGAAGGAAGAGGCCCCAACGUCACAUCUCAGCCCCCAGCCGCCUGCCUCCCCGUCCUGACACGGGCCUGGGGGACUCCUGGGCUGGCCCCGAGAUGACUAUGGGAAAAACUGAAACUGUGAGAACCCCGUGUAGCGCUUGGGUGGGGGAGAAGUGAGGAUGACAACAGGUGGGCGCCAAGGGCGGUGACCCGACGCCCCCGGGGCCUGCAGGCGGCGUCAGCCUGCGCAGAGAGCCGGGGUUCAGCAGCCUGGCCCAGCCCUUCCAGGUCAUCGUGUUCUGGUGAGCCUGGCCUUCGCGCAUGCGCGUGUGGGCCCUUCCCUGGAUGGCUAUUUGGGGCGUGUGGGGGGAUUCUGAGCUCCCCAGGGGGCAGUCGCGCUGCGGGGCUGAGUGCUCCACUCGGGGACCUGUAUCGAUGGGGAACAGUGUGCUGGGUACCACCGCUCCCUCCCUCCCUGCCCCUGCGUCUCCCUGGUCCUUGCCCUGCCGUCUGGUGGAGCCCCGGCUGGUGUGAGCUCUCCAGGGGGGUGAAGCUUCAAUCUCACAAGCCUUUGCCGAGGGUGGCGUUCCCAUUUACAGAGAAGUGGAGUGGCUCCUCCCACCCUGCCGCCUCCUCUUCUCCCCUUCCUGCUCUCCCUGCUUCUUCCAAGCAGGCUUCCAGGACUACCUUGUUACCUAUAAAUGUUUUUGAGCUCAGAGACACCCAUUGGGCUACCUUUCAGGCUGCCCCUGGUGUGUGCAGCUUUUGGCCACAGAUCCGCUCUGUUCUCCUGCGGGAGGACCCUACUACUCGACACAGAACCAGACCUCCUUUUUUUUUUUUUUUUUUUUUAAAGAUUUAUUUAUUUUUUUUAAAGAUUUAUUUAUUUGAAAGGCAGAGUUACUGAGAGAGAGAGAGAGAGAGACUGAGAGACCUUCUAUCUGCUGGUUCACUCCCCAAAUGGCUGCAAUGGCCAGGGCUGGGCCAGGCUGAAGCCAGGAGCCAGGAGCUUCUUCCGGGUCUCCCAUGUGGGUGCAGGGGCCCAGUCACUUAGCAAUAAUCUGCUGCUUUCUCAGGCCACAGCAGAGAGCUGGAUUGGAAGUGGAGCAGCCGGGACUUGAACCAGUGCCCAUAUGGGAUGCUGGUGCUGCAGGGGGAGGAUUAACUUGCUGCGUCAUGGCGCCGGCCCGGGCCUUUUUGUUUUGAGAGAACUCUAAUUCGUGCAGAGGGCUUGGGCUUGGAGGCUGAGUCCUUCCCCCAGACUGUGUGAAACGUGUGCCCUGCACCACGCAGUCCCGUCUUGGGGCUGCGCCCUUGGAAUUGAUGUUCUCAGCAGGGCGCCAUGUUCUGCUGAGCCCUGGUUACUCGGGCCAAGGGUCAGAAUCUGCUUCUGCAUCUCCUGCUGGGUCCGUGGUCUCAGUGCUUGGCCUGUCCCUUGAUCUCUACGUCUUCAGUGUAAUAACUUCUUCUUGUUAUGGUUGGUGGCAUUGGGCCAGUACAGAGAGGCACGGAGUGGGCCCAGAGAGGGGAGGAGACUGGCCCACAGUCAUACAGCGAGGAGCAGAGUUGGGACAGACUCUGUGGCCCAGCCUGGUGCUCCUCCAGGCCUCAGUCCUGCACCUGCUGAUCCUUGGGCCGGCUGCUGACCCCAGGCUGUCUCUUCAGCUUAAAAGAGCUUAAAAUAAGCUUUUGACUGUAGUAUGAAUUUAAAAUGUCUCAAAAGUGGCCAACGCUGUGGCGUAGUGGGUAAAGCCGCCGCCUGCAGUGCUGGCAUCCCAUAUGGGCACCGGUUCGAGUCCCGGCUGCUCCACUUCCGAUCCAGCUCUCUGCUGUGGCCUGGGAAAGCAGUAGAAGAUGGCCCAAGUCCUUGGGCCCUCCACCCUUGUGGGAGACCCAGAAGAAGCUCCUGGUUCCUGGCUUCGGAUCGGUGCAGCUCCAGCCAUUGUGGCCAAUUGGGGAGUGAACCAGUGGAUGGAAGACCUCUCUCUCUGUAACUCUGCCUUUCAAAUAAAUAAAUAAAUCUAAAAAAAAAAAAAAAACCUCAAUAAUGAAACAAGGAAAGAAAGAAGGAAAAGAAAGAAGAAAAGAAGGAGGCGAGAGGGAGGGAACGUCAUUAAUUCUUAGAAUUGUACCUAUGGAUUACACUGAAUCUGCUCUUUUUGUGUUAGUAUCACAUUAACAUGAAGGAAAAUAAAGCAAUAAAAAACCACACCCAGAAUCGCCUUGGCUUUCACAGAUCUGACUGAGACCAAAACCAAAACCAAACAAACGAAAAACAUCAAAGGGUGGAGGGCCUGGGUGAAAGCAGAAAGUCAUAAAGCUCCCCACCCUCCCCGGUCCCAACCCAAGAGGCUUGCCUUUUAUUAUUUUAUGUUUUUAUUUACUGAUUUUCACUGUGUUUGAAAGGCAGAGAGAAAGACAGAGGUAACUUCUAUCUAUUGGUAGACUCCCCAA